rnacentral:rRNA from 1 species
CCUACGGGAGGCAGCAGUGGGGAAUUUUGGACAAUGGGCGAAAGCCUGAUCCAGCAAUGCCGCGUGUGCGAAGAAGGCCUUCGGGUUGUAAAGCACUUUUGUCAGGGAAGAAAUCGUUUGGGUUAAUACCCCGAGCAGUUGACGGUACCUGAAGAAUAAGCACCGGCUAACUACGUGCCAGCAGCCGCGGUAAUACGUAGGGUGCAAGCGUUAAUCGGAAUUACUGGGCGUAAAGCGUGCGCAGGUGGUUUGUUAAGACAGUUGUGAAAUCCCCGGGCUUAACCUGGGAACUGCAAUUGUGACUGGCAGACUAGAGUGAGGCAGAGGGGGGCGGAAUUCCUGGUGUAGCAGUGAAAUGCGUAGAUAUCAGGAGGAACACCGAUGGCGAAGGCAGCCCCCUGGGCCAUCACUGACACUCAUGCACGAAAGCGUGGGGAGCAAACAGGAUUAGAUACCCUGGUAGUCCACGCCCUAAACGAUGUCUAUUAGUUGUUGGGUCUUCAUUGACUUAGUAACGAAGCUAACGCGUGAAAUAGACCGCCUGGGGAGUACGGCCGCAAGGUUAAAACUCAAAGGAAUUGACGG